rnacentral:rRNA from 1 species
AUUAUUUAAGAGCUAAAUGUUGUAAGUAAAUAAAAAUUAUGAAAGCAAAAAAUUAUGGCGGUAUUUUAAGCUUUUCAGAGGAAUUUGCUCUUUAAUGGAUAAAACACCUAAAUCUUACUUAAAUUUGUUAAUUCAAUUUGUAUACCACUAUAAAAACAAUUUAUAACUUUAAUUGUUUAAAUUUAUUAAAUUAAAAUAUAUUAAGUCAAGGUGCAGUAAAAAUUUAAGAAUGAAGUGAAUUACAUUACUCUUUAGAGAAAUAAAUUUAAAAUAAUAUUUAGGAUUUGAAAGUAAAAUUAAAAUAAAAUGUUGGUUUGAAUUAAGCUCUAAAAUAUGUAC